rnacentral:ncRNA from 1 species
CCCGCUGAACUUAAGCAUAUCAAUAAGCGGAGGAAAAAAAAAUUAAAAAGGAUUCCCUUAGUAAUAUCAAAUGAAGCCGGAAGAGCUCAAAUUUGAAAUCUUCAAGGUUCUACCCUGAUGAAUUGUAGUUUAAAGGUGUGUUUUCUGUUUAGAGGAGUUGUUAGAGUUCCUUGGAAUGGGACAUCGUAGAAGGUGAGAAUCCCGUGUUUGGCUAUUCUUUCUAGUUCUGUGAUACACUUUCAAAGGGUCGGAUUGUUUGGGAAUACAGUCCAAAAUGGAUGGUAAAUUUCAUCUAAAGCUAAAUAUUGACAAGAGAUUGAUAGCGAACAAGUACUGUGAGGGAGGGAUGAAAAGAGCUUUAAAAAAAAGAGAGUUAAAUAGUACAUGAAAAUUAUUAAAAGAGAAGCGUUUGACACCAGUAUUGCUUUUCCUAAAAUCAAUUACGAAUGACUUAAUUUUGGGUUGUAUUGACUUUAUCAGCUUUCUACUUUUUUUUUUUUUUUUUUUUUUUUUUUUUUUUUUAUUUUUAGCGUGUUUCUUUCUGUGAACAAGUCAAUAUCAAUUUCUUUUGUUGUUAAAUGAUAUUUGGAAGGUGGCUUUCUUUUCGGAGAAAGUUUGUAUAGCCCUAUACCUCUAUAAUCGGAGAGAUUGAGGUCUUCAGCGUAGAUCCUUCGGGAUUAGAUACACUUGUGCUAAGUUAUAGCUUUUCAUAGACAACUUGUUGACUAUGUUUAGUCAUGUAGCUUACCCACAUGUGCUACUAUUACCUAUGCUUAGGAUAUUGAAAAAAUGGUUUUAGACGAUUUAUCUUGAAACACGG